CUCCAGGCCUGACUACUGCAAUUCGCUCUACGCGGGGCUGCCCUUGAAGCUGUCCCAGAAACUCCAGCGGGUGCAGAAUGCUGCAGUGAGGCUCCUCACAGAGAACUUAAUUCAUUCUGGAGGUCUUUUCUUAACCUGAAACUGUUCUUUUUAAAAUAAUAAUAAUAAUAAUUUUAUUGAGUUUUCAUAUUUAAUUACAUCUCAUUACACAAGUCUAUAACAUAAAGCAUUGCUCAGGCAGAGCAUCGACUUCCUUCUCUCCCUCUUUCUGACUUCCAAACAUCUUUUACUAAAUUCUCGCAUUUCUAUAACCACUUUUUAACCUUAAGACUUCUUCUUUUUUAUAACAAUUACCUCCUUAUGUGUAAAUCAGUUCCUUAUUUUCACAUUACAAAGCAUUUCAGUUCAAACCUACAAACGUUUUCAAAUGUUUACAAUUUUCUUCCAUAUAAAAUAUAAAUUUGCUCCAGUCCUUUCGAAACAGUUCAUCUUGCCGAUUCCAGAUCUGAAACUGUUCUUAACCUGAGGUACCACUUUAGCUAAAGGGGCCUCCUGCUGCCGCCACACGAUUUCUGUUCUCAUCCUGAAGCAAAGUUCUUAACCUGGGGUACUAUUUCUGGGUUAGCAGAGUCUGUAACCUGAAGCGUCUGUAACCUGAAGCGUAUGUAACCCAAGGUACCACUGUAUAAGGAGGGAAAGGGGUCCCAGUUGCUGCAACUGCUCCAUAGGGCCCAGACCUGUGGACCACUGCUCAGAGGCUAGAAGCAUGUGGAUAUGUGUAUCUGGAGCACCUUGAGAGCUGCUGCAAGUGUUUCUCUUGCCAAUAAAGAGUUAACUAUCUGAUGUGUGGCUUACCUUAUCUGGGAUUGGCUGUGACACUGGCUUGCCAACAAAGGCAGGAUACUUGUCUUGACAUUCUAGAGUGCCUACAGUGAGCAAAGCUCUUGGUCAGAGGGCUGCUCCUUUCUGGAUCUUCACCCUUCAGUGUGAAGGAAGAACCCAGGAGGAUAUUCACAUCCAGGGAACAUAAAAGGGCUUAGCUGAGAAUGUGAGGCCGAGCUCUUAUAAGGAGUUGCUUUCCCCCUGGAGAAACCAAUGAGGUUUUUUGCCCCUUUUCUUUGAGUUCAGAUAAGGGAUAGCUGUUCUCCCUGCUAGCACUCUGAUGCAAAAUCAUAGAGGACAAAUAGUGCAAGUAGCACAGAAAAUGCCAUUAGGUGUCCUGCCAAAGGACUGAGCAGAAUUUUGACUAGUUACACAUUUAAAGCCAAAUCUAUGGAAUUUCCUUUGAAAUUGCACAUAUCCAAAUUUUGUGAUGCCAUUCUUCAACCAAACAACAUUUACAAAAAUGCAUGUAUUGGAAUGGAAUGGGGUGUGCCUAAAGAUGGAGAUAUUAGUGAAAAUAGCACACCAAAAUACAGUAUAUUAGGAGAAAUUGCUUGGUAAAUGGCUACAAUAUCUGUGUUUAUUUGCACUAAAACACCGGUGACAUUUCAUGAUGAUUGGUUUCUUUUAAUUGCAAAUUGCUGUAAAAUGUGGAAAACUGAAUUUAAGAUUGGGUGGGGGGGACAAGCAACAGGGAGAGUUGAAACUGACAGAUCCUUCCAUCCCUAGUCCCAUCACACACAACUGGCACAACUGCAUUAUCAGAUCAGCAUCAUCUAUGCUUAUUGUUUUAAAAAUGCAAACAACACCAUUGUUCUAGGGAAAACAAACACGACAAAAUAUUGAAGCAUUUGUCAAACAGAGCGGCAAUCUGAACACAUAUUUCUUCAGAAUCGUUGGGUUUUAUUUUAUUUAUCUUGUUUUUUUUUAUUAUUUUGCAACCUGAGAGGAAUACUAAAGAUGGCACACGCUGCAUUUCCCUCCUACCACUUAAUCUUGAACAAAUAUAACAACUCUUCUGAUAGAGGUGGCCAAGGGGCUAAGCCGCAGUGGCAAGCCCCAUCAUGAUGAUGUAUUCAUAGUUCACAGAGUGCUAAGUCGUUGCAUUUGGCUCUGCAGCCUGCAAUUACACACAUUGCAAGCACCAGAAAUCCCCCCCCUUUCCCCUUCACAGUUAUUUCAGGCCCUUAAAAGGAAGCUCUGGCAUUCUUUGUGUAGCGAAUGACAUUAACUUAUGUUUCUAACUUGCCUUAUUAACCUUUUCUAAGACACAGGCUGGGAAAUGCCGGGGAGAAAUGCUACCCAAUUUUGGCAUAAACCCAUCUGGGAAACCGGUUCUCAGGGUCUAGGGAAACCUCUAAGCAGCAGAAGGUACGUAUGUUACUUCAGAUAUGUGAAGUGGAACAUCGGUUUGUUCAGAUGUCCAGUUAAAUGAUCCAAUUUAUCAAAGGCUGUUGUCCAUCUCUGCUGCCUAAGGGCUUUUUUGGGAGGUGGGGUUCUCCAGAAACACACUCUAUUUGGGACUUUUAUUUCCACAAACAAGCACACUUACUAGGGAAAGGUCCCCACCAAGCACAGUCAGAUUUACUUCUGAGUAAAUGUUCCCUUGUGGGAGGCAGAGGAAAACAGGAGUGCUCUGGUCCUUGGGGUCACGAAGAGUCGGACACGACUAAAUGACUAAACAACAACAAACAACAAAAAAUGUUCCCUGGUUUUGCAUUCAUAGAAUCAUAGUAUUGUGGAGUUGGACGUGUCCCUGAGGGUCAUCUAAGCUAACUUCUUGCAGUGCAGGAAUCCUGCCCACAGCCAUCCCUGGGUGGGUUUGAACUACUGACCUUCUGAUUAACAGCUAGACACGCCAACCCACUGCACCACAGGAGAUUUUGGUUUCCUUAGGUUCACCAGUGGGGUGGCAAGCAAACUUGUCUUAAAGGUGAGGCCUGAUUCUAGGAGCUAGUGCUUACCUAAAAGAUAGAGAUAUGCACAUGUUGUUGCCUCCUAGUGGCCCAAAGGCACUGGAAAAGUCAAGCCUGCACACGCUCCAGACCCCAAGCUUUCGUCUAGGAUGGGUGCCGGGCUGAAGCUUGUGUGAACAGAGGAUGAAAGAAAACCCAGUGUUUGCUGCACAUUGCUGGCGUAGUCUCUGUUUGUUGCAAGUGUUUAAGUUAUCUUGAUACCAGUAUAAGUGGCCCAGGGUAAAAGCUUCUCAGAACUAACAGGCAGACACAACAUCCCCUCUUGUCCCAGUGUUGAAAUGCAAUGCCAUUCUUAGGGGUGGCACAGGAGAUGCCACUGAUCCCAAUCUAUGCCAGGGCUGGCCUGCUGUGCAUGGCUCAAAGUGAGAACUAUGCAGUCACGGAAAAGAAAUUAAUAUAAAUUGUUGCAAUAUUUGCCUUAUACCAGGUCAAGCCAUUGGCCCAUUGAGCUCAGUAUUGUCUACUCUGAUUGGCAGUGGCUCUCCUGGGUACCAGGCAGGGCACUCUCCCAGCCCUGGCUGGAGAUGGCAUAGGCUGAACCUGAGACAAUCUGUAUGCAAAGCAGAUGCUCUACCACAGAGUCUUCUAACGCUAUUGCCACCAAUCAUUUCCCACUCUUUGUGUUUUGCCCCUUGUUUUCUCAGUAGUGAUGUAUGGAAGUAAGAGCUGGACCAUAAAGAAGGCUGAUCGCCAAACAAUUGAUGCUUUUGAAUUAUGGUGCUGAAGGAGACUCUUGAGAGUCCCAUGGACUGCAAGAAGAUCAAACCUCUCCAUUCUGAAGGAAAUCAGCCCUGAGUGCUCACUGGAAGGACAGAUUGUGAAGCUGAGGCUCCAAUACUUUGGCCACCUCAUGAGAAGAGAAGACUCCCUGGAAAAGACCCUGAUGUUGGGAAAGACUGAGGGCACAAGGAGAAGGGGACGACAGAGGACGAGAUGGUUGGACAGUGUUCUCAAAGCUACCAGCAUGAGUUUGACCAAACUGCGGGAAGCAGUGGAAGACAGGAGUGCCUGGCGUGCUCUGGUCCAUGGGGGUCACAAAGAGUCGGACAUGACUAAAUGACUAAACAACAACAACACUUCUAGACUCUGUUACCAAGAUCUAUGGGCUCCAUCCCUGGGUGCAGAGCUCUAAGAUUUUAUCACUGGGCAAAUAGACCCCAUCCUUUAACCUAGACAAUUUCCAGUGCCUGAUCCUUUGGGGGUAUUGCCCAUAGAAGAAGAAGAAGAGUUUGGAUUUGAUAUCCCGCCUUUCACUCCCUUUAAGGAGUCUCAAAGCGGCUAACAACCUCCUUUCCCUUCCUCCCCCACAACAAACACUCUGUGAGGUGAGUGGGGCUGAGAGACUUCAGAGAAGUGUGACUGGCCCAAGGUCACCCAGCAGCUGCAUGUGGAGGAGCGGAGAUGCGAACCCGGUUCCCCAGAUUACGAGACUACCGCUCUUAACCACUACACCACAUUGGCUCAGCUAUAGAGCCGGCCCAAUACAUUUUGGCACCUGAGGCAGACCCCAGAAUGGCAUGCCCCCUCCCCACCAGGGAAGAAGGGUGAUGGAAGAUCUACAUCAGGAACAAGGAAGGGAGGAAGAUCAGGUUCUGCUGCUCCUAUGGAUCCCGCCACCUGAGGCAGUCACUUCACCUUGCCUUAUGGGUGGGCUGAAUCUGCCCAGGUGUCAGAAUGUUGACUUCCAACCCUCUUUCAUGUGUAACAAUUCACCAAUGAUUGCAGCUUUGGUAGCUCAAUCUCACAUGGCCAGAGUCCACAGCAUAGUUCCUUCCUGUACUGGCUUUGUUUUAGCAUCCGAGAUAAGAGAUGCUGUCACGAGAAGGAGUCAUCUCACCUACAAAAUUGGGCAUCUGAAGCUACCUGAGUGGCUGCAGCAGCCUACUUUUACACUACUGAGCUAAAAAUCAGAAGGGGCUCUCUGGUUAAAAAGAAGCCCCAUUUUGUCUGUGCCACCUGCCAGUUACAGGCAUUCAGACUGUGUCUACAAAACAGGAAGCCAAUUAAUUUAAUUACCCAGUCUUCCGACCUCAAUGGACUCCACAAUGCAGCUUGCGACAAUAACAAAAAGAUUAAAUCUGAAAGAAUCUAAAUUAAAAGCCCGUACCAAAAAAAUAAAAAUCUAUGUAACAUUUUUCUAACAAGAACUAAAACUAUUGCAGAAGACAGAGCAUCCUUUCAUUUUUUAAUCACACCAAUUGAUUGGUGGAUCUGUUCCCCAGGGCUCAAGCACAAGUAUGAAUAAGCCCUUAGAGAAAGAAAGUCUUUACCUUUCUUCUGGCUCAGGUGUCAAUAACAGCCACCUGCAACUAACUGCUUACAGAGACAGGAUAAUGUAUUAGAAGGUGAACCACUGUCCUGACCCAAUAUGGUUGCUGUUUGGUUUUCAUGAAUAUACUUUGUCAUUUCCUUUUGUUCUGAAGCUAAAUUAAGGCUUGGG
rnacentral:lncRNA from 1 species